AACGAACGCUGGCGGCAUGCCUAACACAUGCAAGUCGAACGAGACCUUCGGGUCUAGUGGCGCACGGGUGCGUAACGCGUGGGAACCUGCCUUUAGGUUCGGAAUAACUCAGAGAAAUUUGAGCUAAUACCGGAUAAAUGUCUUCGGACCAAAGAUUUAUCGCCUUUAGAUGGGCCCGCGUUGGAUUAGCUAGUUGGUGGGGUAAAGGCCUACCAAAGGCGACGAUCCAUAGCUGGUCUGAGAGGAUGAUCAGCCACACUGGGACUGAGACACGGCCCAGACUCCUACGGGAGGCAGCAGUGGGGAAUAUUGGACAAUAGGGCGGAAAGCCUGAUCCAGCAAUGCCGCGUGAGUGAUGAA
rnacentral:rRNA from 1 species